rnacentral:rRNA from 1 species
UACGGAGGGUGCAAGCGUUGUCCGGAUUUAUUGGGUUUAAAGGGUGCGUAGGCGGAUGAUUAAGUCAGUGGUGAAAGCCCACAGCUCAACUGUGGAACUGCCAUUGAUACUGGUUAUCUUGAGUAUAGAUGAGGCAGGCGGAAUUUACGAUGUAGCGGUGAAAUGCAUAGAUAUCGUAAAGAACACCUAUAGCGAAGGCAGCUUGCUAAACUAUAACUGACGCUGAGGCACGAAAGCAUGGGGAGCGAACAGGAUUAGAAACCCCCGUAGUCC